rnacentral:rRNA from 1 species
GACGAACCGUGCGAACGUUGUUCGGAAUCACUGGGCUUAAAGGGCGCGUAGGCGGACUGCCAAGUCCGGGGUGAAAUCCUCCGGCUUAACCGGAGAAUUGCCUGGGAUACUGGCGGUCUUGAGGGAGGUAGGGGCACGCGGAACUUCCGGUGGAGCGGUGAAAUGCGUUGAUAUCGGAAGGAACGCCCGUGGCGAAAGCGAGGUCCUGGACGCCAUCUGACGCUGAGACGCGAAAGCCAGGGGAGCGAACGGG